GAGAGAGAGAGAGAGAGAGAGAGACGUACAGAGAGAGACACACAGAGAGAGAGAGACAGAGAGAGACACAGAGAGAGAGAGAGAGAGAGAGAGAGAGAGACAGAGAGAGAGAGAGAGAGAGAGAGAGAGUCUACGCUGUCCCUCUCAGUGCAGGGUGAAUGACUGCGUCUCCGCACACACUGUUUGCUGUUGUUUACUCCUCUGUCCCACUUGAAGGACAGCAGUAAGAGAGAGACAAUAAUAAAUCUGAUGGCGUGUGUCCUCCGCUGCAGCGCCUCCGGUGUGUUCUAGCCGCGCGGAUAAACUCGUUCCUGUACCCGGGGAGCUGCGGUGGCUGGAGCGGCUCUGUCAGGCUCUCAGAUGGCGUCUCCCGAGGCAGAAACUCCGUCCCCAACUGCCAACGAGGACCGAGUCCGUCAGGUAGUAUUUACUCCUAGUGGCUAUCAAAUCACCACACAAUAAUCUCCAGUGAAGCUCCUCUUACGUUCAUGGGCAGAGGUAUGUGAUGGCACAGCAACACACACAUACUCAGCCAGUACAUGGAUAGUCCAUGGUUUGUAUUAGUUGUAGAGCCGUGGCGAACCGCUUGUUUCUACUCUCAAUCUACUCUACUCUCAACUGUAGCUGUCUCAGCUUCCUGACAUAAUAUUUUAAAUAAAAAAAUUUAUUUCAAAUCCCCCACAACAUUUCAAUGGGAUUCAAAUCUGGGUUUUGACUAGGCCAUUCCACAACCCUCCAUUUCUUCUUUUUGAGCCAUUCCUUGGUGGAUUUGCUCAUGUGCUUAGGAUCAUUAUCCUGUUGAAAGGUCAGAUGACAGAUGGCCUCAUGUUAUGUUCAAGCACUCUUUGAUAUGACGCCGAAUUCAUCGCCGAAUCAAUGAAUGCAAGCUGUCCAGUCGCUGAGGCAGCAAAGCAACCCCAAAGCAUAACAUUUCCACCACCGUGCUUCACAGUUGCUAUGAGGUGCUUCUCCUGAAAAGCUGUCUUUGGCCUGCUGUUACUGUGGCCAAACAACUCUAUCUUUGAUAUGUCUGUUCAGAGCACAUUGUUCCAAAAGGUCUGGUCUUUGCCUAUAUGCUCAUUGGCAAACUGUAAUCAUGCAGAGGCUUUUUCCUGGCACGCCUCCCAUGCAGGUCAAAAUUGUGCAGUCUCUUUCUGAUUGUAGAAGCAUGCACUUUGACACCAACAGUUGCAAGACUUACUAGCAGAUCCUGUGAUGAAAUUUUGGGGUUCUUGGAGACUUCUUUUUGCAUCAGACAGUCUGCUCUUGGGCUGAAUUUGCUGGGACGGCCAGUACUGGACAAAUUGGCAGUCGUUUAAAAUCUGUGCCAUUUGUAGAUUAUUUUCCUUACAGUGGAAUGAUGUAUUUCAAAUAAUUUGGAGCUCUUUUUAAAUUCCUUGCCAGACUUAUAGGCAUCCAUGACCUUUUUUCUGAAGGCUUUACAGAAGGCUUUUUCACCUGCAAAAAAUACAGCCUUUUUAAGUAAUACAGCAGUUAUACAGCAAGGUAUUUCAACUUUCCUUGUUCUGCAGUAAUGCUGAAGAAAUAAGACACUUUCAGUGAUGUGAGAAAUACAAUUUGUGUGGUGUUCAAUUAGAUUAACUUUGAUUCAAUGACUGUAUCUAACGUCCAGAUUGGUGUGCUUUGCAUGGCAGAUUGACAGACAGAUGUAUUAUUGCAGUGCCAGAAGCCUUUCUGCUUCAUUCAUUAGUUACGCUUUUCUGUUGCUUAAUGUAUCUUCUGAUUUCUCUAAAUCCAGAACAGCUUGAGAGGCCCAGUUUCAUUCUCUGUUACUAUCCAACUAUAAAUGGCACAGUUGUUGGGGGUUCAUAUACUACAACAUUUUACAUUGAUCCUCUCUCUCUCUCUCUCUCUCUCUCUCUCUCUCACCUAAACCUAACCUUAACCUCAGAAACCAAAAGAUUUUGCCUCUUAUUUAAAUAUAUCUUCUUAAAUCUUUUCCUUAUGGCUACCAGCCAAAUUAUCCCCACAAGAUCAAAACUGUCCGAUAUUCCUAUCCUUGUGGAGAAACACAGACACUAACACACUUUUUAAAAAUAUUGUUAGUUCAUUUUCUCUCUCUUUUAAGUAAGUUCAAAGAUGGAGUCCUGACACUUUUCUUCUACACUAAAUGCCACAGCGAUUGCGGUAUUGUGUAAAAUAGCCUUUUUUGAGACACAGUGACAGAUAUGAAAUACUGGUUGAAUGCCACACACAACUCUAUAAUUCUGCAUGCUAAAAAGUAUUAUUUUUUAUUCUUCUGUGUGCACUUCACAAUAUCAUAAUCAUGGUAAUAAUCACAGUUGGGUUGAUAAUAUAAGGUUCCCGAAGAAUCACGUCAGUGCCCAGAGUGCAGUUUGUCUGCACUGAUACGCCUUUUUGUAGGCUAGAGUGAAACCACACUUUUGCUGCCAUCUUCUGACUGAACUGUUUUUACUGUAAAUUUCUGAGCCAUGAGGAAAUUUCCAUAGCUUCUUGUAGCCACAUUGUGAAUAAAUAAUGCUCGUCCAAAGUAAAGGGACAGAUCUUUGGCAUUGUCCAGUUACUAUGCCUUAUUAAUACUGUGCCAAUUGUGGAAGAGUUUCUACAGAUGGUUGUCAUGCUCUGGUGACCAGAGUAGUGGGCGUGGGACAGGGCAGUGCCAAGCAUGUGACCUUAGACUUAUUCAUUUGUUCCACUGAAGUCUUUACACUGUGGACACCAUAACUUAAUCGUUAGGUUCAUCUAGUCAUUAAAAAUGUAUGAUCAUUUUUAAAAUCAUAAAUUAUAUUAUUGUUCAGCCCAUACAGGAUUUCUCAUAGUUAUUUUGUGAUUGUAAAGACCAAAAAUGCUUGAUUUUGCUCUGGCUUUUUUCUCUCCAAAAUUUGCGAUGCAACUUGCAGAGUUGUUUGUGCUUUUUUUUGCAGAAAACUACUUGAAUUGGUAAAAUUGCAAUUGCACAAAAUUGUUUCGUAGCGUUUUUUUUUUUUUUUUGCAUUGAUGUUUGUUGUUAAAUGAGAUCUUUUAUCUGUACUCAUAUUUGAUGCAUGUGAAUCCAAGGAGGCUUU
ensembl:lncRNA